rnacentral:rRNA from 1 species
GGGUCUUGGGCGAGCCUGAUGGAGCACGCCGCGUGAGUGAAGAAGGUUUUCGGAUCGUAAAACUCUGUUGUAAGGGAAGAACAAGUACAGUAGUAACUGGCUGUACCUUGACGGUACCUUAUUAGAAAGCCACGGCUAACUACGUGCCAGCAGCCGCGGUAAUACGUAGGUGGCAAGCGUUGUCCGGAAUUAUUGGGCGUAAAGCGCGCGCAGGCGGUCCUUUAAGUCUGAUGUGAAAGCCCACGGCUCAACCGUGGAGGGUCAUUGGAAACUGGGGGACUUGAGUGCAGAAGAGGAAAGUGGAAUUCCAAGUGUAGCGGUGAAAUGCGUAGAGAUUUGGAGGAACACCAGUGGCGAAGGCGACUUUCUGGUCUGUAACUGACGCUGAGGCGCGAAAGCGUGGGGAGCAAACAGGAUUAGAUACCCUGGUAGUCCACGCCGUAAACGAUGAGUGCUAAGUGUUAGGGGGUUUCCGCCCCUUAGUGCUGCAGCUAACGCAUUAAGCACUCCGCCUGGGGAGUACGGUCGCAAGACUGAAACUCAAAGAAUUUUGACGGA